GUGGGGGGCGAGCGUUGUCCGGAUUCAUUGGGCGUAAAGAGCUCGUAGGCGGCUCAGUAAGUCGGCCGUGAAAGCCCGGGGCUCAACCCCGGGACGCCGGUCGAUACUGCUGUGGCUAGGGUCCGGUAGAGGAGAGUGGAAUUCCCGGUGUAGCGGUGAAAUGCGCAGAUAUCGGGAGGAACACCAGUAGCGAAGGCGGCUCUCUGGGCCGGUACCGACGCUGAGGAGCGAAAGCUAGGGGAGCAAACAGGAUUAGAUACCCUGGUAGUCCUAGCCGUAAACGAUGGGCACUAGGUGUGGCGGAUUCAUUGACAUCUGCCGUGCCGGAGCUAACGCAUUAAGUGCCCCCGCCUGGGGAGUACGGUCGCAAGGCUA
rnacentral:rRNA from 1 species